rnacentral:rRNA from 1 species
GAUGAACGCUAGCUACAGGCUUAACACAUGCAAGUCGAGGGGCAGCAUGGUCUUAGCUUGCUAAGGCCGAUGGCGACCGGCGCACGGGUGAGUAACACGUAUCCAACCUGCCGUCUACUCUUGGACAGCCUUCUGAAAGGAAGAUUAAUACAAGAUGGCAUCAUGAGUCCGCAUGUUCACAUGAUUAAAGGUAUUCCGGUAGACGAUGGGGAUGCGUUCCAUUAGAUAGUAGGCGGGGUAACGGCCCACCUAGUCUUCGAUGGAUAGGGGUUCUGAGAGGAAGGUCCCCCACAUUGGAACUGAGACACGGUCCAAACUCCUACGGGAGGCAGCAGUGGGGAAUAUUGGUCAAUGGGCGAGAGCCUGAACCAGCCAAGUAGCGUGAAGGAUGACUGCCCUAUGGGUUGUAAACUUCUUUUAUAAAGGAAUAAAGUCGGGUAUGGAUACCCGUUUGCAUGUACUUUAUGAAUAAGGAUCGGCUAACUCCGUGCCAG